rnacentral:tRNA from 1 species
GACGAGGUGGCCGAGUGGUUAAGGUGAUGGACUGCUAAUCCAUUGUGCUCAGCACCCGUGGGUUCAAAUCCCAUCCUUUUCG